rnacentral:lncRNA from 1 species
GUUUGAGUGGAAGAAAAUCAUUGGAUCUUUUAUUUACCACAUGUAUUUGGUUUGCAGGUUGCUGCAGGAUUCUACAUCAGAUGCAUUGUUUUACUGCUCCCCACUCAGAGAGAGAUCACAAGUAGGCAGAGAGGCAGAGAGGAGGAAGCAGGCGCCCUGCCGAGCAGAGAGCCCAAUGCGGGACUCGAUUCCAGGACCCUGAGAUCACGACCGGAGCUGAAGGCAGAGGCUUAACCCACUGAGCCACCCAGGCAUCCUAGGA